UAAUACGGAGGGUGCAAGCGUUAUCCGGAUUUACUGGGUUUAAAGGGUGCGUAGGUGGGUUGGGAAGUCAGUGGUGAAAUACUUUCGCUUAACGAAGGAACUGCCAUUGAUACUCUCAAUCUUGAAUGCAGUGGAGGCGGGCGGAAUGUGUCAUGUAGCGGUGAAAUGCUUAGAUAUGACACAGAACACCCAUUGCGAAGGCAGCUCGCUACACUGCGAUUGACACUGAGGCACGAAAGCGUGGGGAUCAAACAGGAUUAGAUACCCUGGUAGUCCACGCCCUAAACGAUGUUCACUCGAUCUCGGCGAUACACUGUCGGGGUCUAUGCAAAAGCAUUAAGUGAACCACCUGGGGAGUACGAUCGCAAGAUUG
rnacentral:rRNA from 1 species